UACGUAGGUGACCAGCGUUGUCCGGAUUUACUGGGCGUAAAGAGCGCGCAGGCGGUCGUUCAAGUCGAGUGUGAAAGCCCCCGGCUCAACUGGGGAGGGUCAUUCGAUACUGAUCGACUGGAAGGCAGGAGAGGGAAGCGGAAUUCCCGGUGUAGUGGUGAAAUGCGUAGAUAUCGGGAGGAACACCUGUGGCGAAAGCGGCGCACUGGACCACAACUGACGCUGAGGCGCGAAAGCUAGGGGAGCAAACAGG
rnacentral:rRNA from 1 species